GAUGAACGCUGGCGGCGUGCCUAAUACAUGCAAGUCGAGCGAAUGGAUUAAGAGCUUGCUCUUAUGGAGUUAGCGGCGGACGGGUGAGUAACACGUGGGUAACCUGCCCAUAAGACUGGGAUAACUCCGGGAAACCGGGGCUAAUACCGGAUAACAUUUUGAACCGCAUGGUUCGAAAUUGAAAGGCGGCUUCGGCUGUCACUUAUGGAUGGACCCGCGUCGCAUUAGCUAGUUGGUGAGGUAAGGGCUCACCAAGGCAACGAUGCGUAGCCGACCUGAGAGGGCGAUCGGCCACACUGGGACUGAGACACGGCCCAGACUCCUACGGGAGGCAGCAGUAGGGAAUCUUCCGCAAUGGACGAAAGUCUGACGGAGCAACGCCGCGUGAGUGAUGAAGGCUUUCGGGUCGUAAAACUCUGUUGUUAGGGAAGAACAAGUGCUAGUUGAAUAAGCUGACACCUUGACGGUACCUAACCAGAAAGCCACGGCUAACUACGUGCCAGCCGCCGCCGUAA
rnacentral:rRNA from 1 species